GACGGGGGGGGCAAGUGUUCUUCGGAAUGACUGGGCGUAAAGGGCACGUAGGCGUGAAUCGGGUUGAAAGUGAAAGUCGCCAAAAAGUGGCGGAAUGCUCUCGAAACCAAUUCACUUGAGUGAGACAGAGGAGAGUGGAAUUUCGUGUGUAGGGGUGGAAAAUCCGUAGAUCUACGAAGGAAACGCCAAAAGCGAAGGCAGCUCUCUGG
rnacentral:rRNA from 1 species